AAUAGAUACCCGGGUAGUCCACGCCGUAAACGAUGAGUGCUAAGUGUUGGAGGGUUUCCGCCCUUCAGUGCUGCAGCUAACGCAUUAAGCACUCCGCCUGGGGAGUACGGUCGCAAGACUGAAACUCAAAGGAAUUGACGGGGGCCCGCACAAGCGGUGGAGCAUGUGGUUUAAUUCGAAGCAACGCGAAGAACCUUACCAGGUCUUGACACCUCCUGACCGCCCUGGAGACAGGGUCUUCCCUUCGGGGACAGGAUGACAGGUGGUGCAUGGUUGUCGUCAGCUCGUGUCGUGAGAUGUUGGGUUAAGUCCCGCAACGAGCGCAACCCUUGGUUCUAGUUGCCAGCAUUCAGUUGGGCACUCUAGAGCGACUGCCGGCGACAAGUCGGAGGAAGGUGGGGAUGACGUCAAAUCAUCAUGCCCCUUAUGACCUGGGCUACACACGUGCUACAAUGGAUGGUACAAAGGGCAGCGAAGCGGCGACGCAUAAGCGAAUCCCAGAAAACCAUUCUCAGUUCGGAUUGCGA
rnacentral:rRNA from 1 species